CCCUUGCGGCAGCCUAAACAUGCAAGUCGAGCGGACCGACGGGAGCUUGCUCCCUUAGGUCAGCGGCGGACGGGUGAGUAACACGUGGGUAACCUGCCUGUAAGACUGGGAUAACUCCGGGAAACCGGGGCUAAUACCGGAUGCUUGAUUGAACCGCAUGGUUCAAUCCUAAAAGGGGGCUUUUAGCUACCCCUUUCCGAUGGACCCGCGGCGCCUUAACUAAUUGGUGAGGUAACGGGUCCCCCAGGGGACGAUGCGUAACCGACCUGAUAGGGUGAUC
rnacentral:rRNA from 1 species